ensembl:lncRNA
CGCCGCCUCGCGGGUCACCAUGCGUGCCCACGUGGUCUCCGGGGCGCACUGCACUGAGGGGGCGCGCAGACUGGGCCCCGGCCGGCGGGGGUCGCAGGUACGUGGCUCAAAGUGCCCCGCCCCGCCCCUGCCUUUCCCGUGGUCCUCGCAGUUCUGGCCACCGCCGGGUGUCUCCGGGUCAGUGACUCCUCCUGUCGCCCGUCUCACCCUUUGCUGCUGCAGGUCGCUCUGGACCAGGAGAUGGGGGCGAGCCUUCAGGGAGGGCAGACGGAGGCUUCUCCGCGGCCGCGGCCGUCGGAGGUGUCAUGGCAGUUGUGAUAUUUAUCUUGCUAUGCAUCACUGCCAUAGCGAUAUGCAUUCAUCCACAGAGGUGGCUAUACCAAAAGAAUGAUUCAGAUGUCUCAAAACCUGGAGACCAUGCUGAGACUGCUCUGAGAAGUGAGCUCAACUUGCAAAAUGCAGUCAGUGAAAGUCAGAAGGAGUGUUUCUUCUGAUCAGCAGCUGUGAUUUCCUUUCUGCUAUGACAGUGUAGCCUUCAUGAGAUGGAACUCAGGACCUUGGGCUUGGGAGGCAGGCAUCGUGUCACCGAGCUACAUCCCCGGCCCACGUCAUGCAUUUCUUAAAGGCCAGCUGUGGAAUUCCAAGACAUAACUCCAUUUCGGCUCCCGGUCACAACUGAGACCUCAGUGAUCUGGUGAUGCUGUGAUUCUCCAGGACAAGAUUACACCAGCUGAAAACAUCCUGGGAAGAACAAACAUCUACUCAGUUCUUCAUUGUUCUUGGAUUGUUAUGCUUUGUUUAUCUGAUGUACUGAAUUCUCCGCAAGUCAUUUGUUACAUCAGUUUCUCCCAAUGUACUGAAUAAAAGAUGCGCAUGCUGAGCUGCUGAGCCCAUUCGUGGGUGAAUCCCCAUGACCUCCACGAUCCUAUCACCUUUGAAAAACUCCACCUCUGAGCACAUGAGAGCUUUGGACCAAAACCAUAAAAUCUGCCUGUAUUUACUCAGAUGUUAAUGUUGAAUUCUUCAGAUUACCCACAAAAUACCCCAGACAUGUUCGUGAGUAUGCAUCCCACAAAUGCACAUGGAUGAAGUGCAGAGCUGUUCAUCGAGGUAAUUGUGCCUUUAACUUCUGUUAGUAGAGCAGGCUCUCAAUGCUCACAGAGAAUCAUAUUAUAAAUUCAUGUUGUAAAUGGGUAAAUUAAAACAUUUUCAUUUUACUAAGUAUGCAUGCCAUGCAAGGCCUUUGGAAAAUUAAUUAAAACUCUGUUUUCUGUAGGGUGUUAUAAUUAUCUUAUUCUGGAACACUAUCCAUAAUUAAGUUCUGAAUUGAAGGCCGCUGAGCAAGUCUGUCAAAAUCAAUUCAAUUGAUUUUUAUUUACGUAGAUGUAUUGAGUUUUUACAGUGGUUGAAGUUCUUUUGAAAAGAAAUUAGAUGCUGGCCAUUUAAAAAAAUAUUUCAAAAUAUUGUACCCCUUCUCUGAUACUUUCUACAGGUAUUUCAAAAAGUUCCUUGAAUAAAUAAUAUGGCAAACAUCCUUGCAUUGUGUUAAAUAAUUAGUUCUGAAAUUGAAAAUCAGAAGUUAUGCUUUCUAAAAUGGAG